rnacentral:rRNA from 1 species
CGAUAUCAGAUUAGCUAGUUGGUGAGGUAAAAGCUCACCAAGGCGACGAUCUGUAGCGGGUCUGAGAGGAUGAUCCGCCACACUGAAACUGAGACACGGUCCAGACUCCUACGGGAGGCAGCAGUGGGGAAUUUUGGACAAUGGGGGCAACCCUGAUCCAGCCAUGCCGCGUGAGUGAAGAAGGCCUUCGGGUUGUAAAGCUCUUUCAGCCGGGAAGAAAAUGCAUGGGUUAAUACCCUGUGCAGAUGACGGUACCGGAAUAAGAAGCACCGGCUAACUACGUGCCAGCAGCCGCGGUAAUACGUAGGGUGCGAGCGUUAAUCGGAAUUACUGGGCGUAAAGGGUGCGCAGGCGGUUAUGUAAGUCAGAUGUGAAAUCCCCGGGCUUAACCUGGGAAUUGCGUUUGAAACUACAAAGCUAG